GGGCCCGCACAAGCGGUGGAGUAUGUGGUUUAAUUCGAUGCAACGCGAAGAACCUUACCAGGGUUUGACAUCCUGCGAAUUUCUGGGAAACCGGAAAGUGCCUUCGGGAGCGCAGUGACAGGUGGUGCAUGGCUGUCGUCAGCUCGUGUCGUGAGAUGUUGGGUUAAGUCCCGCAACGAGCGCAACCCACGUCUUUAGUUGCCAGCAUUUAGUUGGGCACUCUAGAGAGACCGCCGGUGAUAAACCGGAGGAAGGUGUGGAUGACGUCAAGUCAUCAUGCCCCUUACAUCCUGGGCUACACACGUACUACAAUGCUACGGACAAAGGGCAGCAAGUUCGCGAGGACAAGCA
rnacentral:rRNA from 1 species